rnacentral:rRNA from 1 species
AAUCAAGUGACCUAAGAGCAUCUGGUGGAUGCCUUGGCGCACACAGGCGAUGAAGGACGUGGUACGCUGCGAUAAGCCAUGGGGAGCUGCGAACAAGCUUUGAUCCGUGGAUUUCCGAAUGGGGCAACCCACCGCUUCGGCGGUAUCGUCAUCUGAAUUCAUAGGAUGACGAGGCGAACCCGGGGAACUGAAACAUCUCAGUACCCGGAGGAAAGGACAUCAACCGAGACUCCGCUAGUAGUGGCGAGCGAACGCGGACCAGGCCAGCGCUUCAGCAAGGAUAACUGGAACCAUCAGGAAAGUUGGGCCCCAGAGGGUGAUAGCCCCGUACAGGUAAUGCCGAGCUGAAGACUUGAGUAGGGCGGGACACGUGCAAUCCUGUCUGAACAUGGGGAGACCACUCUCCAAGCCUAAGUACUCCUCAGCGACCGAUAGCGAACAAGUAC